AAGGAUAUAUUCGGAACAUCUUCUACGAAGAUGAAAGGAAUAACGUGACAUAUUGUAUUCAGUUUUGAAUGUUUAUUAACAUUCAAACAAAAUUAUUUAAAGAAUUGACUAAAUAAUUCAUAUUGUACAUUGAAAACUAGAUAAGUAAGUAAAUUAGAUUUUACCAAGCAAAACCGAGUGAAUAGAGUUUUAAAUAAGCUUGAAUUCAUAAAAUAAUCGCUAGUGUUCGAAAGAACACUCACAGAUUAAUAACAUAUCUUAAA
rnacentral:misc_RNA from 1 species